AGAAGAGGCUGUGCUCUGGGCUCCGGCUCCUCAGAGAGCCUCGGCUAGAAGUGGAUGGAAAUGUACUAUGACACAGUGGACCAGUUCUUCCUCAGGCUGGUAACAUUAUGAAAUCCCUGAUGAAAUGCAAACUGGAUUGGUGGAAAUCGGAUUCCCAUAUCCUCUCAUUUUUCAAGAUGAGGAAAUCGAGGCCCAGAGAGGUUAAAUGACGUGCUGAAGUUCCCACAGCUGAGCAGAGAUUGAAGGACAGGAUUAUUCACUGAGCCGGCCAAGGAUACUUCAGUUGGUAGCAACAUGGAGAAUGUCACAAAAGAUGUCAACUCUUAUUAGUCAUCUUAGGAGGGUU